UGAGAAGACAGCCUUGUGCCAGGCCAGGGGUGUGGGACUCUGGGCUGUCUAGGUUACUAGGUUCUAGGGGUGGAUACAGCGUAGGUAGAUGCACCAUUCUGCAGGUAGCACAGUGUAUGCCUAGUUAUGUGUGUGUGCCACAUGGCUGUAUGCAUGCACAGUGCUGGAUGCAGAUGGGUUGGCAUGGGUUACGUGGCUGUAACACUCUGGGCCUAAGUCUGAACAGAAAUAAAGUUCUUGUCUUGUAAACCUGAGUGUAAGCGUCCCCAGGUGUCCCUUGCAUCUCCUCAGGGCAGAAGGAGUUAGCCAGAGACUGGGGAGAGUUUGUCUCCUGGAAGGGGUUAGGAUCUCCAAUGCUCCAGGGCUGUGCAGUCAGCAGAUGCCGGAGGUGCUGUGGAUGAUGGGCUUACCUAGGACUUGGCUUGCUGCCCCCCAUGGACAGCAUGGUCCCUGUGGUGGUGACACACAGCACAAUGAGGUCUCCCGGGCCUGUUUUCCAGGUGCUGAAGAACCAGAGCUGGGAGAAAAAGAAAGAGAUGUCGGAGGCAUUUGAAGGAAGUGGGAGCUGUCAUCUUGAAGCCAAGGGUCGAAUCCCAUUGUGGCUGGGCAGGGACGAUCAGCUUACAAACCAGGCGCUGACAGAUAUGCUGAGAAGCCAAGAGUUCCUGGACAGAGGCAACUCUAAGCCAGAUGGAGACGUCCCAGGUGUGGGAGCAAUUUCAGGACUGGGUCUGUCCUUGCCUAACCUGGGGGUGCAUUGGCUGCUAACAUGAUCUGAGGGCUCAGAUAACUUGUUAAAUACCCAGAGAAUGACCCCUCCUUGGGGUCAGCCUCACCCCACACCAGCUGAGAGGGCACCAGCGAGGCUGGGUGCAGUCCAGCUUGCUGUUAAGGGGACCUACAGUGGAGAAACUUCUGGGUCUGGACCUCCUUGGGGCGGAAGGGGGGCUGGGAGAGGGGCUUGUGUGGCUGUGUUGGGGGUUCUGCUUCUUUUUCCCCAGCAUCCCCUCCCCUGCAGAUCCUCCUCCCUCUUUUCCUGCAGGGUUUGUUCCCAUCUGUAAUGACAAAGGAGGCGAAGCUGCCACAAGUAGCCCCGGGUGGUUUGGCCGAAUCCCCCCGAGCAUGGGAGCAGUGACAGGGGAGAAGCCUUUGCAAAGUGGAGCCAGCAGAACACAGGAACCAACCUGCACUGCUAGUGUGACUGGCGCGGUGAGUGCGAUGCACUGGGGCUAGAAGAGAGGCCCACGGACACCACAAGGCAGCCUGGAGUAGAAGGUCUCCCUGUCUGCACAGAUUUGAUUUCCCUAGACGUGACUUACAUCAUGGUCACAGGGCUGGCUGCAGCUCCCUCUUGAGCCUUCCCCUCUCCUGGGGUGGGAUCCUGUAAUUCUCCUACUCUCAGGAUAGGCCCUGGGCUACAACAGCCAACAGGUAACAACUGCAGGUCCAACUGGGUUCAGGCACCUGCAGUUCUUCCCUCCAGGAGGCUGUGGCCAGGGGCACACGGGAAUCAGACAGCCUGCUUAAAACCAAACAUUAUUGAUUUUAACAGCAGGAACAAAGUGUUAGAGAAAAAGGAUUUUAAAACGACAGGCAGCCUACACAUGUCUCUCACUGAAAGCCCUCCCAUCCCAAUGAUCACUGAGCAAGCUGAACUCCUGUGUGGGUCCUGGGUGUCAGUCUGGCCCCCUAAACAGCUCCCCUACCCCCAUCCCCUCUCUUGAGAGCAGGGAGGGAGGGGGCUUUUCAAACAUGCCACAGUCCUUUAGAUCU
ensembl:lncRNA